rnacentral:tRNA from 1 species
GUUUUUAUAGCUUAAAUUAUAAAGCAUAACGCUGAAGUCGUUAAAAUGAAUAUAUUCUAAAAACG